GGAUUGUAGGCUGCAACUCGCCUACAUGAAGUCGGAAUUGCUAGUAAUCGCGGAUCAGCAUGCUGCGGUGAAUACGUUCCCGGGCCUUGUACACACCGCCCGUCACACCAUGGGAGUCGGUAACACCCGAAGCCUGUAGUCUAACCGCAAGGGGGACGCAGUCGAAGGUGGGAUUGAUGACUGGGGUGAAGUCGUAACAAGGUACC
rnacentral:rRNA from 1 species